rnacentral:rRNA from 1 species
CAAUAGCGUAUAUUAAAGUUGUUGCGGUUAAAAAGCUCGUAGUUGGAUUUCUGCCGAGGACGACCGGUCCGCCCUCCGGGUGAGUAUCUGGCUCGGCCUGGGCAUCUUCUUGGAGAACGUAGCUGCACUUGGCUGUGUGGUGCGGUAUUCAGGACUUUUACUUUGAGGAAAUUAGAGUGUUUCAAGCAGGCAUACGCCUUGAAUACGUUAGCAUGGAAUAAUAAGAUAGGACCUCGGUUCUAUUUUGUUGGUUUGUUGGGGCUGAGUAAUGAUUAAGAGGGACAGUUGGGGGCAUUUGUAUUUCGGCGCUAGAGGUGAAAUUCUUAGAUUGCCGAAAGACAAACUGCUGCGAAAGCGUCUGCCAAGGAUGUUUUCAUUGA